UACGUAGGGGGCAAGCGUUGUCCGGAAUCAUUGGCGUAAAGAGCGUGUAGGUGGCCCGGUCAGUUCGUGGUGAAAGCGCGGGGCUCAACCCUGCGUCGGCCAUGAAUACUGCCGCGGCUGGAGCACUGUAGAGGCAGGCGGAAUUCCGGGUGUAGCGGAUGGAAUGCGUAGAGAUCCGGAAGAACACCGGUGGCGAAGGCGGCCUGCUGGGCAGUUGCUGAC
rnacentral:rRNA from 1 species